rnacentral:lncRNA from 1 species
GUGCAACCUCAUGAGAGAUCUUGAGGCAGAGAAUUCAGCUAAGCUAGAGCCUGAUUCUGACUCAAAGAAACUGAUAAAAGAAUAGGCAUUAUAACCCAAAUACGAGAUUAUAAACCUCGAGGUCAAAGAACUUGUGUAAUACUGCAGAAAAGAGUGCAUACAUGAAAGGGAAGGACUGAGAUUGUGUCUAAGAGAAGCUACCAGAUCAGAUUU